CACUGUCUGGGACCUCGGCUGCGUGGAAUGCAGAAAGGACUUUCUAGAAUCCAGGGUAUGAACAGCAAAAGGGAUGGAUAACUCCAGGUGUGACUGAAGGUCUCAGCUAAGUAAUGACUGCAUCAAGAUGAGUAUUACUCAAACGUUCUAUUACCGUCCAUCGUCCAAGUAGACCACCACCUCUGAAUCCUUUGCUUUCACAUAUCUUCUGCUACCAUGAAGCACUGAUCUCAGCUGACACUAGGGAAGUUUAUAGCAGUAUACUUUCUCCAAACUUAUCAGAUUUAGUGCACCAUUUCUCCUUUGGUCUACUGCUCAUCCUUUGUUUAUAAAUGGGACUUUCAAUGUCUUCAGGAUAGAAAUUGUUGCAGCAAGAU
rnacentral:lncRNA from 1 species